AACGAACGCUGCGGCAGGCUUAACACAUGCAAGUCGAACGAGAUCUUCGGAUCUAGUGGCAGACGGGUGAGGAACACGUGGGAACAUCCCUUUCAGUUCGGAAUAACGUUGGGAAACUAACGCUAAUACCGGAUACGUCCUGCGGGAGAAAGAUUUAUCGCUGAAAGAUUGGCCCGCGUCUGAUUAGCUAGUUGGUGAGGUAACGGCUCACCAAGGCUACGAUCAGUAGCUGAUCUGAGAGGAUGAUCAGCCACAUUGGGACUGAGACACGGCCCAAACUCCUACGGGAGGCAGCAGUGGGGAAUAUUGGACAAUGGGCGCAAGCCUGAUCCAGCCAUGCCGCGUGAGUGAUGACGGCCUUCGGGUUGUAAAGCUCUUUUGUCCGGGAAGAUAAUGACUGUACCGGAAGAAUAAGCCCCGGCAAACUUCGUGCCAGCCGCCGCGGUAA
rnacentral:rRNA from 1 species